rnacentral:rRNA from 1 species
UACAGAGGGUGCGAGAGUUAAUCGGAAUUACUGGGCGUAAAGGGCGCGUAGGCGGCCUGCUAAGUCGAACGUGAAAUCCCCGGGCUCAACCCGGGAACUGCGUCCGAUACUGGCAGGCUUGAAUCCGGGAGAGGGAUGCGGAAUUCCAGGUGUAGCGGUGAAAUGCGUAGAUAUCUGGAGGAACACCGGUGGCGAAGGCGGCAUCCUGGACCGGCAUUGACGCUGAGGCGCGAAAGCGUGGGGAGCAAACGGG